rfam:Callithrix jacchus chromosome 17, whole genome shotgun sequence
AUAAAGGCAUUUUUAAAUGCCAAAACAUUGUAAUAUGCAGAAAAUU